rnacentral:misc_RNA from 1 species
UACGGGGAGGCAGCAGUGGGGAAUUUUGGACAAUGGGAAACCUGAUCCAGCCAUCCCGCGUGUGCGAUGAAGGCCUUCGGGUUGUAAAGCACUUUUGGCAGGAAAACGGCGCGCGAUAAUACCCCGUGCAACUGAUACCUGCAGAAUAAGCACCGGCUAACUACGUGCCAACAGCCGCGGUAAUACGUAGGGUGCAAGCGUUAAUCGGAAUUACUGGGCGUAAAGCGUGCGCAGGCGGUUCGGAAAGAAGAUGUGAAAUCGGAAACAACCUGAGACGCAUUUUUAACUACCAGCUAGAGUGUGUCAGAGGGAGGUGGAAUUCCGCGUGUAGCAGUGAAAUGCGUAGAUAUGCGGAGGAACACCGAUGGCGAAGGCAGCCUCCUGGGAUAACACUGACGCUCAUGCGAAAGCGUGAGGCAAACAGAGUUAGAUACGGGUAGU